rnacentral:rRNA from 1 species
UACGUAGGGUGCAAGCGUUAUCCGGAAUUAUUGGGCCUAAAGCAUCCGUAGCCGGUUUUACAAGUCCUCCGUUAAAUCCAGCUGCUUAACAGAUGGGCUGCGGAGGAUACUAUAAGACUAGGAGGCAGGAGAGGCAAGCGGUACUCAGUGGGUAGGGGUAAAAUCCGUUGAUCCAUUGAAGACCACCAGUGGCGAAGGCGGCUUGCCAGAAUGCGCUCGACGGUGAGGGAUGAAAGCUGGGGGAGCAAACCGG